AAGAAGUGUCAAGAAGUGGUGUUGAGUUUGCAGUACUAUAUACCAUCCCAGAGGAGGCUCUAAAACCUCAGCAAGUAGGAGAUAACAGAGCCAAUGGAUUGCAUGUGUUAGGUAAGCAACAAAACUCCAGUAGUGAUAUAAAUUAUUGGAACAAUGUUCAUCUGGGGAAUUGCAGACAAAGCAGCCCUGAGGAAACGCAUAGAGAGCCUUGUUUCAGCCGAGGCUUGAAUAACAGCAGCAGUGAAAACCACUGAUGAUGAGAGGAGAGGUAAUCAGAUGAGAGGGGAGAAAACCAUCUGAAGCCACUAUAUUUACCUCCAGGUAUUUUGAUGUGACCAGUAUUUUUUUUUUAAUGGACACUUUAUAUAAAGGCUCAAUUCUGAAUGGGACUAAUCAACUCCAGCCAGUGGGAAAUUAAGAAACAGUACAAAGCUUCAAGACUGUCAUGACAAAUGGAUUAGAAGAAAUCAUUUAGACUUACGGAAAAUUGUUGGGGGCUGAAUGCUGCAAUGUUUGCUCAGUGUAUGUGAGAACAUAAAAUAGCUUCUCAGUAUUUAGGUGAAAUUGUG